rnacentral:rRNA from 1 species
CAGUCGCCGCGGGAAAACGGAGGGGGCUAGCGUUGUUCGGAAUUACUGGGCGUAAAGCGCACGUAGGCGGCUUUGUAAGUUAGAGGUGAAAGCCCGGAGCUCAACUCCGGAAUUGCCUUUAAGACUGCAGAGCUAGCAGGUGAGAGAGGUGAGUGGAAUUCCGAGUGUAGAGGUGAAAUUCGUAGAUAUUCGGAAGAACACCAGUGGCGAAGGCGGCUCACUGGCUCAUACUGGACGCUGAGGUGCGAAAGCGUGGGGAGCAAACGGGAUUAGAGACCCCCGUAGUCCCUGUCUCUUAUAC